CUCGUGGCAACGUCAUUUCACUGCGUCUACCUUUAACAAACCAGCUUAGUAGACACUUUCAGAAUAUUGUAAAUCCUGUAAGGAGGGCUUGGGCUUUCCAGUGGCCUUGCAUUCCCACACCAGAGAGUCGUCAAUGGGCUUCUGCACAUCCUGGGGUUUCUCUAUCAGAUGUGGAGGGGCUGCAUGGUCAAAACAACAUGGCUGUGAAUUAGAACAUUCUCAUACAGAUCCCAUUUCUCGCAGCUCAGCAUUCAACACCAUAGUGCCCAGAAAGCUCAUCACUAAGCUAAGGACCCUGGGACUAA